GCAUACGAUCUAAUCUCGGCAUCGAGGAUAGAUGAAAGGUGGCCUCUACAUGUAAGCUAUCACUGAAGGAGGGGAUUGCGUCUGAUUAGCUAGUUGGAGGGGUAACGGGCCCACCAAGGCGAUGAUCAGUAGCCGGUCUGAGAGGAUGAACGGCCACAUUGGGACUGAGACACGGCCCAGACUCCUACGGGAGGCAGCAUG
rnacentral:rRNA from 1 species